GUCAUCCCAUGCCCUAUAGGAUUGUCCUGGGGGUGUUUAUGGGGUCAGGGUUGUCUUUUAGGACAUCUGGGUUCAUCCCAUUGUCUAUAGGAUUGUUCUGAAAGUGUUUAUGGGGUCAGGGUUGGAAGCUCUUAGGAAGGUCUGUAUGGGAUUUUGGCCAUCCUUUGGCACAUCUGGGGCCAUGUGGGGCCACCCCACACCCUCCAGGCCGACCCUGGUGGUAUUUAUGGGGUCAGGGUUGGGUUUGGGGACACCUGGGGUCAUCCUAUGCCCUAUGGGAUGGUCCUGGGGGUGUUUAUGGGGUCAGGGUUGCUUUUGGGGACAUCUGGGUCAUCCCAGGCCUUAUGGGGUGAUCCUGGGGGUGUUUAUGGGGUCAGGGUUGGGUUUGUGGUCUUUUGGGAUCGAUGGGAGGAUCAGAACUUUUGGGAGGUCUGUAUGGGAUUUUGGCCAUCCUUUGGGACACGUGAGGCCACCCCACACCCUCCAGGCCGACCCUGGUGGUGUUUAUGGGGUCAGGGUUGGGUUUGGGGAUACCUGGGGUCAUCCUAUGCCCUAUGGGAUGGUCCUGGGGGUGUUUAUGGGGUCUGGGUUGGGUCUGGGGACACCUGGGGUCAUCUCAUGCCCUAUGGGAUUGUCCUGGGGGUGUUUAUGGGGUGAUCCUGGGGGGUGUUUAUGGGGUCAGGGUUGGAAGCUCUUAGGAAG
ensembl:lncRNA